UCAGGACGAACGCUGGCGGCGUGCUUCAUACAUGCAAGUCGAACGAGAAUCUGACUCGGUCAGAGGAAAGUGGCGGACGGGUGAGUAAAAUGUAGAGAAUCUGCCCUUAAGCGGGGGACAACAGUUGGAAACGACUGCUAAUACCCCAUAUGCGCGUAGCUGAGAUGCUAUUCGUGAAAACUCCGGUGCUUAAGGAUGAGUCUGCAUCUGAUUAGCUAGUAGGCGGUGUAAUGGACCACCUAGGCGACGAUCAGUAGCUGGUUUGAGAGGAUGAUCAGCCACAAUGGGACUGAGACACGGCCCAUACUCCUACGGGAGGCAGCAGUAGGGAAUUUUGCGCAAUGGGGGAAACCCUGACGCAGCAACGCCGCGUGAUUGAAGAAGCCCUUCGGGGUGUAAAGAUCUGUCAGUGGGGACGAAACUUGACGGUACCCACAGAGGAAGCAUCGGCUAACUCCGUGCCAGCCGCUGC
rnacentral:rRNA from 1 species